rnacentral:rRNA from 1 species
AUGGAGGUUCCGGAAGAUCGUAGAGUUCCUUUGGUCGCAUACAAGCUGAAAGGAGGAGCCGGUGCAUGGUGGCAUCACGUUCAAGAGGAGCGCAGGCUGAGAGGAGAACCUCGUGUUAGAACUUGGCGACAAAUGAAAGGCCUCUUGAAAGGGAGAUUUUUGCCCACUGAUUAUGACCAGAUCCUAUUUAUCCAAUUUCAAAAUUGUGCUCAAGGAAAUAGGACUGUUUCAGAUUACACGGAGGAGUUUCUAAGGCUACAAGGGAGGUCCAACCUUACUAAAACUGAAGAGCAACAAGUUGCAAGGUACAUCAAUGGUCUCAAUGAUGCUAUUCAAGAUCGAUUGAUGAUGCAACAAAUCUGGUCCGUUGAUCAAGCACAAGCUCUAGCCUUAAAGGCCGAGAGGUUUGUGAGGAUGAGAAAGACAACUAAGGCUCCAUAUCCUCCAUAUCCUCCAUAUCCUCAUACUGAAGGCUCAUCUAGGAGCCAACCUAAUAGAGUGGAAGAAAAGGCCACUCCACCAAAGACAAAACAACCAAUCCCGAAACAAACUAGAGGGAAGGGUAAGGCAAAUGAAGGCCCAAAGUGUUAUAAAUGUGGUAAAGAGGGACACAUAUCCAGCGGUUGCCCACUAAGGAAAUUUGUUAACACGACUAUCCAUGAUGGUGAAAGUGAUGAGGAAGAAUACGAAUCUGAAGAUGUAGACGGACAAGAGGUUUGUCGAGAAGAAGCCGAAGAGGUGGUAUGUGUGAUCCAGCGUCUCCUAUUUCCACACCACAACUCGAUGACACACAACGGAAGAAAAAUAUUUGAGAGCAAAUGCACGGUGAAUGGAAAGGUAUGCAAACUAGUGAUUGAUAGUUGUAGCUGCGAGAAUCUUAUCUCCCAGAAGUUGGUGGACCAUUUAAAGCUUGAAACCCAUGACCAUCCAAAUCCCUACACUAUUGGAUGGAUCAAGAAAGGAGUGAAUAUGAGGAUCACCAAACAAUGCAACCUGCCACUCUCUUUGGGUAAGCAUUAUCGCUCAAAUGUGUUGUGUGAUGUGGUUGACAUGGAUGCCGACCAUGUUCUUCUUGGGAGGCCUUGGCAAUUUGAUGUGGAUACUACACACAAGGGCAAGGAAAAUUCUUACUCUUUCAUUUGGAACAAGAGAAAGAUCAUUAUCUUACCAAACAAAACCGAAGGUAAUACCUCUAAGGAGGAGGGGAAACCUAUGUUAACUAUCUCCCAUACCUCUCAUGAGUUUAUGGAAGACUUGAAGGAGGCAGAUUUGUGUGCUGCACUUGUUGUAAAGGGAGAAGAGCACCUGACUGUUGAAAUUUCAGCAAAGGUACGUGGUUUUUUGGCAGAAUUUCAUAACAUACUUGGGGAGCCACAUGGCUUGCCACCGAUGAGAGGAAUUCAACAUAGAGUUGACUUAAUUCCGGGAGCAAGUCUUCCUAAUCUUCCACACUAUCGAAUGAGCCCAAAGAAGCAUGAUAUAUUGAAGGAGAAAGUGAAGGAAUUGUUGCAAAAGGGGCACAUUCGAGAAAGUAUUAGCCCAUGUGCUGUACCAUCCCUACUCGCGCUAAAGAAACAUGGAUCUUGGCGCAUGUGUACGGACAGUAGAGCCGUUAACAAGAGCACCGUAAGGUAUAGAUUACCUAUUCCCCGUCUGGAUGAUAUGUUGGAUCAGCUUAGUGGAACAAGAGUGUUCACAAAGCUAGAUUUAAGAAGUGGAUAUCAUCAAAUCCGUAUAAGACCCGGGGAUGAAUGGAAGACCGCCUUCAAGACAAAGGAAGGGUUGUUUGAAUGGCUAGUCAUGCCAUUUGGACUCUCAAAUGCACCAAGUACCUUUAUGCACUUAAUGAAUCAAGUCCUUAGACCCUUCUUAUCCCACUUUGUUGUGGUCUAUUUCGAUGACAUCUUGAUCUAUAGCAAGGAUGAGGAUGAACACUUUGAUCACAUUCGGAAGGUGCUAGAAGUACUAAGAGAAAAUGAGCUCUAUGUCAACUUGAAGAAAUGUGUUUUCCUACAAACACAACUUCUUUUCCUAGGAUUCGUCAUAACAUGUGAUGGCAUUCAUGUUGAUGAUUCUAAGGUUGAAGCAAUCCGAGAAUGGCCAACUCCUAAGACCAUUUCUGAGGUAAGAAGCUUUCAUGGCCUUGCAACUUUCUAUAGGCGAUUUGUGAAGAAUUUUAGCACUAUCAUGGCACCAAUUACCGAGUGUUUGAAGAAAGGAAAGUUCCAAUGGACAGAAGCAGCUGAAGCUAGUUUCAAUGAGAUUAAACAAAAGCUAUCACAAGCUCCUGUCUUGGUACUACCUGAUUUCAACAAGACUUUUGAGUUGGAGUGUGAUGCAAGUGGAGUAGGCAUUGGAGCUGUCCUAUCUCAAGAAAGGAAGCCCAUUGCUUUCUUUAGUGAGAAGUUAAGUGCAGCUAGACAGAAAUGGAGUACCUACCAGCAAGAAUUAUACGCCAUUUCUAGAGCUUGA